UACGUAGGUGGCAAGCGUUGUCCGGAAUUAUUGGGCGUAAAGCGCGCGCAGGUGGUUUCUUAAGUCUGAUGUGAAAGCCCACGGCUCAACCGUGGAGGGUCAUUGGAAACUGGGGAACUUGAGUGCAGAAGAGGAAAGUGGAAUUCCAAGUGUAGCGGUGAAAUGCGUAGAGAUUUGGAGGAACACCAGUGGCGAAGGCGGCAUCCUGGACCAUGACUGACGCUGAGGCGCGAAAGCGUGGGGAGCAAACAGG
rnacentral:rRNA from 1 species